AUGUUUCUUUUUGGAAAUAAUAUUUUGGAGAUUCCUAACCUGGCCAAGGGAAUGUAUUGCCCACCUACAGUGAGAGACAUAUACGAAAUAGGUCCUACUAAACACCUAAAAGGAUGUGUUACAGUAGGUGUGCAUAUAGUACUAACAUUUUUGCUAUCUUUAUGCUCCUCCAUAUGGAUGGGAACUAAAAGGAUGAUGACAUUAUUCUACCUUCCAAUAUUUGGUGGCGCAUAUUUAAGAAAAUCACAGCUAAGCAUGUCACUUUCUAGAAAGGCGCUUGACUGGAAUGUAUAUGUAUAUAGUUAA
rnacentral:rRNA from 1 species